CCUACGGGUGGCAGCAGUGAGGAAUAUUGGUCAAUGGGCGGGAGCCUGAACCAGCCAAGCCGAGUGAGGGAAGAAGGUACAGCGUAUCGUAAACCUCUUUUGUCAGGGAACAAAGGCGGGGACUAGUCCCCGGAUGAGGGUACCUGAAGAAAAAGCAUCGGCUAACUCCGUGCCGGCAGCCGUGGUAAGACGGAGGAUGCGAGCGUUAUCCGGAUUUAUUGGGUUUAAAGGGUGCGCGGGCGGCCUGUUAAGUCAGCGGGAAAAUCCCGAGGCGAAACCCCGGCGAGCCGUUGAUACUGGCGGGCUGGAGUUGGAGAGAGGUACGCGGAAUGCGAGGUGUAGCGGUGAAAUGCUUAGAGAUCGCGCAGAACCCCGAUUGCGAAGGCAGCGUACCGGCUCCACACUGACGCUGAGGCACGAAAGCGUGGGUAUCGAACAGGAUUAGAUACCCCGGUAGUC
rnacentral:rRNA from 1 species